GCAGUCAUGGCUUAAUGGUUAGGGAGUUGGUCUUGUAACCCAAAGGUGAACCUGAAGGUUGUGGGUUCGAAUCUCAGGUUUAGCA